UACAGAGGUCCCAAGCCGUUGUUCGGAUUCACUGGGCGUAAAGGGUGCGUAGGCGGUCGGGUAAGUCUGAUGUGAAAUCUCACAGCUUAACUGUGAAACUGCAUUGGAUACUAUCCGGCUCGAGGAAUGGAGGGGAGACUGGAAUACUUGGUGUAGCAGUGAAAUGCGUAGAUAUCAAGUGGAACACCAGUGGCGAAGGCGAGUCUCUGGACAUUUCCUGACGCUGAGGCACGAAAGCCAGGGGAGCAAACGGG
rnacentral:rRNA from 1 species